CAAAUCCAAUCCAUCAGUUGCUAGUUCAAAUGACCUCGCAUAACUCAAAUAUCAACAUCUGAUGAACAACAUUGCUCAUCUUAAACCGCGGGAAAUAAACAACCGCGAGAACCGUUUAAAAAAGUCCCGAUCGUCCAUGUAGGCUACUUUUAACGUAGCGAGACCUGGCGACAAUGCAAACGCAUCUAACGUCAAACUAUUCUGGAUAAUGUGUGAUGUCAAUAUAGUCCGUGUUUACACAUUUGGAAAGUUUUAUAUGUUCUCUCUUAAAGUCUCGUUGCGUUUUGUGAUGUUAUAAAAGAACAUGGAAGUGGACUUUUUGGUUAUAGGGCGGCAGUGGCCACUGUGAGGUUGGGGAAGGGCGGCGCGGGUAUCUGACUGCUAAUGCUGGCUUGACGUGCUCUUGGAAAUUAAUUCCUACUUCAACCCGGAAAUAACUUGAAACCCGGAAAUAAACAUUUAUAUUAGCCUACUAAUAAAAUUGGAAUUAUUGAAUUUCCGAGAGCAGGUGAAGGCAGCAUAAACCCUAAAGGGCGAAACACUGCGUUUUUUUAUUUUAUUUUGUGUUCCUAGAUAGCAAACAGGGUUAGAUUAGUAUGUUGAUUUUUGGUUAGAAAUGUCAAUAUCGGUCGUCAAUCAAAUUUCGAUGUUGAAACAUCGUUCACUAUUUGGUCGGUAUAUCGGACCGUUUCAUACGUAAGAAGUAAAACAUUGAAUCAACAUCGAUAUGAGGAUAUUAACACGACACAACUGGUCGGAAUCAUAUCCUAAUUUGGUAACUUGGUGGGAGGAGUCAGAGUUCUGCUAGCGAGCUCGAUCACACAAUUCAACUUUGCGCGUCCAACUGUCACGGACUGGAGUUCGUCUGAGGUUAAAGAGGCAACUGAUCUGACUGAAUCCACAGAUGAAAUUAUCAGCUGUGGAUACACAGGAGCAUUCAACAUAAAAACAAAAAGAUGCCAUAAAAGGGAAAGUAUUUUCCAUAUUUACAGAAUUAAGCAGUUUCAUGAAAGACACUUUGAAAGACUGUUCAAUGUCACAUUGUCAAAUUUAAUUUAACUGUUAACCUUAAUUGCCUAAUUCACAACUUGAAACAAACUUAUGCUGUAUUACUUGAUUUUUUGUUAUUAUUAAAUGUGUUGCCUUUCUAUUUCUCCACAAGAGCAAUUGUUCUUCAUGCAACAUUUCAAGUUACACCAAUGCUUAGAGACUUGCGCAAAGGCCUCCAGCUGUAUGAAUUGCUGGACAUAGUUAAGGACCUUCCAAGUCUUUGCAAGAGUCUGUUUGUUCCUCGGGAGGAUUGUACACCAGAUGCUCCUGAAAUAAGUGAGCGAGGAACUUCAAGGGCUUCGGUAGAGGGCAAAAUCAUAAACCACUUUCAGGACUUCCUUCAAGAAAUUGCAUGUGGAGGGAAAAAAAAAGAGUGCUGAAGAUGCAGCAGAAGUGGAAACUGAGCCAUCAUCCUACCUCACUGUCUCUUUGGCUUUGCUAAGCGGUCAGCUAGCUGUGAUAUCGAUGUAAAUAAAACAUUAACUACUUUAUU